rnacentral:lncRNA from 1 species
UUUAAAGGUAAAGAAUAACGGAGAAAAUUACAGUUGUCUCUUCUGUAGUAGCAAGAAGAAGAAUAAUUACAGUAAAAGUAGUCUAGUUCAGCAUGCCUCAGGAGUAAGUGCAGCGCCUAAUCGGAAGGCAAAAGAAAAAGCAGCCCAUCGUGCCCUCUUCAAGUAUUUGAAGAAUGAUCUUGCUAAAUCAUCUGAACCACAGCCACUUGUAAUUCCUGUGGAGCCACAACCUCUUCAGAACAGAGAUGAGAAGUUUGUGUGGCCCUGGAUGGGCAUCCUAGUUAAUGUGCCUACUGAAUGGAAGGAUGGGCGCCAAAUUGGAGAAAGUGGAAAUCGUUUGAAGG